rnacentral:rRNA from 1 species
CCCAGACUCCUACGGGAGGCAGCAGUGAGGAAUAUUGGUCAAUGGGCGGGAGCCUGAACCAGCCAAGUCGCGUGAGGGACGACGGUCCUAUGGAUUGUAAACCUCUUUUGUCGGGGAACAAAGGCGCCCACGGGUGGGCGGAUGAGUGUACCCGAAGAAAAAGCAUCGGCUAACUCCGUGCCAGCAGCCGCGGUAAUACGUAGGGGGCAAGCGUUAUCCGGAUUUACUGGGUGUAAAGGGAGCGUAGACGGCAAUGCAAGCCAGAUGUGAAAACCCGCAGCUCAACUGGGGGAGUGCAUUUGGAACUGUGUAGCUGGAGUGCAGGAGAGGUAAGCGGAAUUCCUGGUGUAGCGGUGAAAUGCGUAGAUAUCAGGAGGAACACCAGUGGCGAAGGCGGCUUACUGGACUGUAACUGACGUUGAGGCUCGAAAGCGUGGGGAGCAAACAGGAUUAGAUACCCGUGUA